UAGGGGAUGAAUUAAAGAUGAGGAGC
rnacentral:piRNA from 1 species